rnacentral:rRNA from 1 species
UCUUGGKYAMMWUUUGAGGAAGUAAAAGUCGUAACAAGGUUUCCGUAGGUGAACCUGCGGAAGGAUCAUUAAUGAAUUUAAACUUGGUUUCAGGGCUGAUGCUGGUUCCUCGGGGCAUGUGCACGCCUGCCAACCAUUUUUUAACCACCUGUGCACCUUUGUAGGCUAUAGAAACGAAGCUCGAGGCAACUCGGAUUGGGAACUGCUGCGCUUGUGAGAGCGCCAGCUGUUCUUGCGUUUCUCGGUCUAUGUCUUUAUCUAUAUACUCCUGUCUUUGAAUGUAAUGUUUGGCAUUUUAAGUGCCUCUAAACUAUAUACAACUUUCAACAACGGAUCUCUUGGCUCUCGCAUCGAUGAAGAACGCAGCGAAAUGCGAUAAGUAAUGUGAAUUGCAGAAUUCAGUGAAUCAUCGAAUCUUUGAACGCACCUUGCGCUCCUUGGUAUUCCGAGGAGCAUGCCUGUUUGAGUGUCAUUGUAUUCUCAACCAUGCAAGUUUUGACUUGCCAUGGCUUGGAUGUUGGGAUUUUGCAGGCUUACCAAAGUCAGCUGUCCUUAAAUGCAUUAGCAAAGCUUUUUUGUUGCUAAACUCUGGUGUGAUAACUAUCAUCGCCAUUGGGAAGCAGCACAUUUGAAAGCUUAGCUUCUAAUCGCCUCUGAAAAGAGACAAACACUUUUGACCAUCUGACCUCAAAUCAGGUAGGACUACCCGCUGAACUUAAGCAUAUCWAA